rnacentral:rRNA from 1 species
UUAAGCGACUAAGCGUACACGGUGGAUGCCCUGGCAGUCAGAGGCGAUGAAGGACGUGCUAAUCUGCGAAAAGCGUCGGUAAGGUGAUAUGAACCGUUAUAACCGGCGAUGUCCGAAUGGGGAAACCCAGUGUGAUUCGUCACACUAUCGUUAACUGAAUACAUAGGUUAACGAGGCGAACCGGGGGAACUGAAACAUCUAAGUACCCCGAGGAAAAGAAAUCAACCGAGAUUCCCCCAGUAGCGGCGAGCGAACGGGGAGCAGCCCAGAGUCUGAAUCAGCUUGUGUGUUAGUGGAACGGUCUGGAAAGUCCGACGGUACAGGGUGAUAGUCCCGUACACCAAAAUGCACAGGUUGUGAACUCGAAGAGUAGGGCGGGACACGUGGUAUCCUGUCUGAAUAUGGGGGGACCAUCCUCCAAGGCUAAAUACUCCUGACUGACCGAUAGUGAACCAGUACCGUGAGGGAAAGGCGAAAAGAACCCCGGCGAGGGGAGUGAAAAAGAACCUGAAACCGUGUACGUACAAGCAGUGGGAGCACCUUCGGGUGUGACUGCGUACCUUUUGUAUAAUGGGUCAGCGACUUAUAUUCUGUAGCAAGGUUAACCGUAUAGGGGAGCCGCAGGGAAACCGAGUCUUAACUGGGCGUUAAGUUGCAGGGUAUAGACCCGAAACCCGGUGAUCUAGCCAUGGGCAGGUUGAAGGUUGGGUAACACUAACUGGAGGACCGAACCGACUAAUGUUGAAAAAUUAGCGGAUGACUUGUGGCUGGGGGUGAAAGGCCAAUCAAACCGGGAGAUAGCUGGUUCUCCCCGAAAGCUAUUUAGGUAGCGCCUCGUGAAUUCAUCUUCGGGGGUAGAGCACUGUUUCGGCUAGGGGGUCAUCCCGACUUACCAACCCGAUGCAAACUACGAAUACCGAAGAAUGUUAUCACGGGAGACACACGGCGGGUGCUAACGUCCGUCGUGAAGAGGGAAACAACCCAGACCGCCAGCUAAGGUCCCAAAGUCAUGGUUAAGUGGGAAACGAUGUGGGAAGGCACAGACAGCCAGGAUGUUGGCUUAGAAGCAGCCAUCAUUUAAAGAAAGCGUAAUAGCUCACUGGUCGAGUCGGCCUGCGCGGAAGAUGUAACGGGGCUAAACCAUGCACCGAAGCUGCGGCAGCGACACUAUGUGUUGUUGGGUAGGGGAGCGUUCUGUAAGCCUGCGAAGGUGACCUGUGAGGGUUGCUGGAGGUAUCAGAAGUGCGAAUGCUGACAUAAGUAACGAUAAAGCGGGUGAAAAGCCCGCUCGCCGGAAGACCAAGGGUUCCUGUCCAACGUUAAUCGGGGCAGGGUGAGUCGACCCCUAAGGCGAGGCCGAAAGGCGUAGUCGAUGGGAAACAGGUUAAUAUUCCUGUACUUGGUGUUACUGCGAAGGGGGGACGGAGAAGGCUAUGUUAGCCGGGCGACGGUUGUCCCGGUUUAAGCAUGUAGGCUGGUUAUCCAGGCAAAUCCGGAUAAUCAAGGCUGAGGUGUGAUGACGAGGCACUACGGUGCUGAAGUAACAAAUGCCCUGCUUCCAGGAAAAGCCUCUAAGCAUCAGGUAACAUCAAAUCGUACCCCAAACCGACACAGGUGGUCAGGUAGAGAAUACCAAGGCGCUUGAGAGAACUCGGGUGAAGGAACUAGGCAAAAUGGUGCCGUAACUUCGGGAGAAGGCACGCUGGUGUGUAGGUGAAGUCCCUGCGGAUGGAGCUGAGACCAGUCGAAGAUACCAGCUGGCUGCAACUGUUUAUUAAAAACACAGCACUGUGCAAACACGAAAGUGGACGUAUACGGUGUGACGCCUGCCCGGUGCCGGAAGGUUAAUUGAUGGGGUUAUCCGUAAGGAGAAGCUCUUGAUCGAAGCCCCGGUAAACGGCGGCCGUAACUAUAACGGUCCUAAGGUAGCGAAAUUCCUUGUCGGGUAAGUUCCGACCUGCACGAAUGGCGUAAUGAUGGCCAGGCUGUCUCCACCCGAGACUCAGUGAAAUUGAACUCGCUGUGAAGAUGCAGUGUACCCGCGGCAAGACGGAAAGACCCCGUGAACCUUUACUAUAGCUUGACACUGAACAUUGAGCCUUGAUGUGUAGGAUAGGUGGGAGGCUUUGAAGCGUGGACGCCAGUCUGCGUGGAGCCAACCUUGAAAUACCACCCUUUAAUGUUUGAUGUUCUAACGUUGGCCCCUUAUCGGGGUUGCGGACAGUGUCUGGUGGGUAGUUUGACUGGGGCGGUCUCCUCCCAAAGCGUAACGGAGGAGCACGAAGGUUAGCUAAUCCUGGUCGGACAUCAGGAGGUUAGUGCAAUGGCAUAAGCUAGCUUGACUGCGAGCGUGACGGCGCGAGCAGGUGCGAAAGCAGGUCAUAGUGAUCCGGUGGUUCUGAAUGGAAGGGCCAUCGCUCAACGGAUAAAAGGUACUCCGGGGAUAACAGGCUGAUACCGCCCAAGAGUUCAUAUCGACGGCGGUGUUUGGCACCUCGAUGUCGGCUCAUCACAUCCUGGGGCUGAAGUAGGUCCCAAGGGUAUGGCUGUUCGCCAUUUAAAGUGGUACGCGAGCUGGGUUUAGAACGUCGUGAGACAGUUCGGUCCCUAUCUGCCGUGGGCGCUGGAGAAUUGAGGGGGGCUGCUCCUAGUACGAGAGGACCGGAGUGGACGCAUCACUGGUGUUCGGGUUGUCAUGCCAAUGGCACUGCCCGGUAGCUAAAUGCGGAAGAGAUAAGUGCUGAAAGCAUCUAAGCACGAAACUUGCCCCGAGAUGAGUUCUCCCUGAGACUUUAAGUCUCCUGAAGGAACGUUAAAGACGAUGACGUUGAUAGGCCGGGUGUGUAAGCGCAGCGAUGCGUUGAGCUAACCGGUACUAAUGAACCGUGAGGCUUAACCUU